rnacentral:rRNA from 1 species
AACGAACGCUGGCGGCAUGCCUAACACAUGCAAGUCGAACGAGACCUUCGGGUCUAGUGGCGCACGGGUGCGUAACACGUGGGAAUCUGCCCUUUGCUUCGGAAUAACAGUUAGAAAUGACUGCUAAUACCGGAUGAUGUCGAAAGACCAAAGAUUUAUCGGCAAAGGAUGAGCCCGCGUAGGAUUAGGUAGUUGGUGGGGUAAAGGCCUACCAAGCCGACGAUCCUUAGCUGGUCUGAGAGGAUGAUCAGCCGCACUGGGACUGAGACACGGCCCAGACUCCUACGGGAGGCAGCAGUGGGGAAUAUUGGACAAUGGGCGAAAGCCUGAUCCAGCAAUGCCGCGUGAGUGAUGAAGGACUUAGGGUUGUAAAGCUCUUUUACCAGGGAUGAUAAUGACAGUACCUGGAGAAUAAGCUCCGGCUAACUCCGUG